AGAAUAUUGGUCAAUGGACGGGAGUCUGAACCAGCCAAGUAGCGUGAAGGAUGACUGCCCUAUGGGUUGUAAACUUCUUUUAUACGGGAAUAAAGUGAUCCACGUGUGGAUUUUUGUAUGUACCGUAUGAAUAAGGAUCGGCUAACUCCGUGCCAGCAGCCGCGGUAAUACGGAGGAUCCGAGCGUUAUCCGGAUUUAUUGGGUUUAAAGGGAGCGUAGGUGGAUUGUUAAGUCAGUUGUGAAAGUUUGCGGCUCAACCGUAAAAUUGCAGUUGAUACUGGCAGUCUUGAGUACAGUAGAGGUGGGCGGAAUUCGUGGUGUAGCGGUGAAAUGCAUAGAUAUCACGCAGAACCCCGAUUGCGAAGGCAGCCUGCCAAGCCAUUACUGACGCUGAUGCACGAAAGCGUGGGGAUCAAACAGGAUUAGAUACCCUGGUAGUCCACGCAGUAAACGAUGAUCACUAGCUGUUUGCGAUACACUGUAAGCGGCACAGCGAAAGCGUUAAGUGAUCCACCUGGGGAGUACGCCGGCAACGGUGAAACUCAAAGGAAUUGACGGGGGCCCGCACAAGCGGAGGAACAUGUGGUUUAAUUCGAUGAUACGCGAGGAACCUUACCCGGGUUUGAACGCAUUCGGACCGAGGUGGAAACACCUUUUCUAGCAAUAGCCGUUUGCGAGGUGCUGCAUGGUUGUCGUCAGCUCGUGCCGUGAGGUGUCGGCUUAAGUGCCAUAACGAGCGCAACCCUUGCCACUAGUUACUAACAGGUAAAGCUGAGGACUCUGGUGGGACUGCCAGCGUAAGCUGCGAGGAAGGCGGGGAUGACGUCAAAUCAGCACGGCCCUUACAUCCGGGGCGACACACGUGUUACAAUGGCGUGGACAAAGGGAGGCCACCUGGCGACAGGGAGCGAAUCCCCAAACCACGUCUCAGUUCGGAUCGGAGUCUGCAACCCGACUCCGUGAAGCUGGAUUCGCUAGUAAUCGCGCAUCAGCCAUGGCGCGGUGAAUACGUUCCCG
rnacentral:rRNA from 1 species